UUAUACCUCUUAGAGUGGUCAGGGUUCUCAAAACCACUAAGAAAUUUAUGUGAGUGACAUCUGUAGAUUAACAGACUCAACAAUGGAGAAGGAAAAAUGAUACAGGAAGAAGAAAUGGAAAAUAUGAUAGGAAAUAAGGAAACCAAGAGGAGUAAUAGAAGAAGGAGAUACAAAAACUCCAUGAAAUGGAAGUUAACUAUUUGAUGACCAGGAGCACAUAACAGCCUGCAGACCUACCCAAGUCCCAAAACUGAUAACGUUAGCCCUUGUGACAUGGCCCUGUUACCUCACCAUCAACCAGUCAGAAUUGUACAUGAUCUGAUUACAUACCUUGUGAACCCCCCACCCCCGUCACCUUGCCUUUAAAUAUGCAUUCCUUAAACCCCUCAGGAAGUUCAGAUAUUUUGAGCAUUAGCUGCCCUGGACUCCCUGUCUACCACUUUACGAUAAAUGCUGUACUUUCUUUCACCACAAUUUGGUCUCUGACUGGCUUUACUGUGCAUGGGUGAGAGAACACAACAUCUUGGUAUACAGUGAUAUUUAUUCUUUUCUUCUGCUUCUCUAAAACAUGCUCCAAACUGCCAUUAAAUAUGGCACUGCUUUGGCUAACAAUUUUUAAAAACUUGCACUUUUUCUUUCAUCUCAUCAAAGAGCAGUCAACUAGCAUAAUUUUGAAAGACAAUAUCACAUAGUAGGUCACAUGUGGACUCCAUAGAUAAAUGACCUGGAAUCUUGCCAGCUCUGAUCUUGAUCUCUCUGUACUUCAGGUUCUUUAAUAUGGGAUAAUAAUAGACCUCACCUUCACAACUGUCAUGAUGAUGAAAUAAGAUGAUAC
ensembl:lncRNA